CAAUAAAUAAAUAUUGAUCACCCAUAUUUGUCGCCGUCUGAAAAUCGUCCUGAUCCUAAAAGGUAGGCUGUUGAACGUAGCUCAAGAGAAAAUGCAAGUGUCCUCUCUCUCUCUCCAACUCUGCUCUCUUCAAACUAUGUCUAACCUAUUGGCUGAUAUAGCCCAGUAAUGUAGCUAGCCUAAUAUAAUGGAAUAUAAUAUGAGAAUCUCUGGUAAAACAUUUUUUGCGCAUUGUGAUAUUACUUAUAGGGCGCCAAAUUGUUGGGACCAUGGCUAGCAAGUGAGCUGCUUCACAUACACCUAAAAUAACAUUGCUGGGCUGCGGUUGGCUUCGGAACCAGUGCUGGUGUCAGUUGCGUGAGCGGGACAGAAAGCCAGCGGGGGAAAAGAAAAAGUCCCGCGUAGAUCUCUACCUCAAUGGGAACCAACCAGUGAGGGAGAUUCCACACAGAACAGGAAAUGCAAAUCCUCCAUAUGUGACAGAAAAAGAAUGAGCAAAGCCCUGUCCACGUACUUACUCACCAUGGUGAUGGCGAACAGGGCCAGGGACCCAGCACUCCACCCACCGUCCAUCUGUACUCGUCUGGAAAAGCCAUCGGGCCAAGCAGGUUUUGGGGGUGAUUGGAGGCUCUGUCGGAACCGGCUCCCGGACUUGGCGUGUCUGUGACAGCCCCUCUCCCGGGCACCAAGGACCAUUCUGCCUUCGUCCUGCCGUGACUGACAGGUUUUAUGAGCUAUCAAUCACCUUAACAAAGCUGCAGCAUGAGAGAGAGAGAGCCACUGCCAGGGGAGGUCUGACCUGCGGCCUAGCGUGACAUUCAGGGAAGGAGAGCUGCUCACCCAGGAAAUCCCAUUACACCAAAGCAUGAUGGAUAUCGCUCCUGGAAAAGCUCAUAUGUGGUCUGACAUAUAAUUUGUUAUAAUUUGUAAAAAUCAUAUGGCCACGUUCACAUUUCUCUAUGUCUUUCGUUCUUUCCAAACUCCUCACUCUCCUAUCCUUCAGCCUACACACAAUGUCUCACAUACUGAAGGUCCAGAAUAUUCUGCAGAUUCGCACAUCUAUCUCCUCUGCAGAUGGCUAGGAAGUGUCCCAGCCCAGGAAGGGUAAAAUGGCCCCAGUAUGACUAUGGUAUGUCAGUGGGGGAGCUGAGAAGUUUUCUAGUGUAUUGAAUGCACUGUAGACUGUAUGAACUUGUCGUCAUCAUCAUAUCGUCUCUGCCAUGUGGAGCAGUGGAGGCUGCUGAGGGGAGGAAGGCUCAUAAUAAUGUCUGGAAUGGAGUCAAUGGAAUGGUAUCAAACACAUCAACGAUGUGGUUUCCAUGUGGUUGAUAGCAUUUGAUUUACUCCAUUCCAGACAUUAUUAUGAGCCGUCCUCCCCUCAGCAGCCUCCGCUGAUGUGGAGGUAAUGUUAACAUUAGAAUGCUCAAUUUGUUCAGUUAUAAUAUAAGACAGACUAUUGAUUAUUGUUCAGUUAUAAUGUAAGACAGACUAUUGAUUUCUUGCACACAAAGGAUUUGGCUCAUGUUAUUAUUAUUUUUUACUUCUUCAACCCAGAUGUCCAUUUUUAUAGAUGUCUGGGAAUUUACUCUAUUAAAAAUGAAGGACAUUAAUAUGAGAUCUCUGUCCAUUUUUGGAUACUCAAAGUGAAAAAUACAUGUUGGACUUCACUGUCCACUGCUUUGUUUCACAUUUCUUUCCUAAUAAUCUAAAAACAAUAUGACAUGAUUGUUAAUAUGGUGCUUUGUAUUAUUCUGUUACUCCAUUACUACAACAGUAGAUAGACCACAAAGUGGCUUUGUGAAGAUACUAAUGUCACUAUAUUGUAGAUUGACAUAGAUGACCCUCCAUUGCUUUGAACCUGUGUUUUAUGUAGAGACAAGUCAGAGAGAAAGGCUAUCUACAGUGCAUUCACUAUCUGUAUAAAGGGGCCCAGGGGAGGUAUAGUUUUAUUUGCAAACACGUUAUCCCUCUACCUCUGAUCAAUACCUCCAAACAGCUGAUGGCAUGCUCCCCACAUGGGCAAAGGUGAAGAAAGAAGCCCCUCCCCAUUGUGAAACAGAGUAGAGUGCAGACCGGUGGAACUAGCAAACUCUGCCCCCAGUGGUGAAAUAUAGCACAGUCUCUCGUCCAGUUGGAAUUACACUCAAACUUGAGAAUCUGGCAUCUUUUGUCCAUAGAAGUCUACUGAAAUUACAAAUAUUAAACAUUGAUCAGCGGUACUCAAAUACCAUUCUCAACUGACCUGCAGUAACUGACUGUAAUGAUGACCUUUGAUCUGGUCAUAUACUUUAGUUUUUGCUGUCCUUUUUUCCUCAGCCGUAGAAGUGAUUAAGAUAAGGUAGCUCAUUGACUGUAUCGGCUGUUUUUUCUCUUCCCAGUGAGUCAUGUUUACCUGCCUCCAUUUGAACCCUCACCUUUAUUAUACUCUACUCUGAUAAGAGAGUCGCAAACAUACAGUGGGCCAAAUCUCAGUGUCUCUCUCUUUCCCUCCUUUGGAAGGCUGUUUGGCAUCUGUCACACUGAUCUGGAACAUUAGCUACCAGCUAAAUACAUACUGGAUAACUUGUUCUGUUAUACAACCUGAGUAAGAACUGCCUGCCAGGAAUACUGGGACGAGAAAAGGAAGAAUCUAAAAGGUGCACAUGAUUUACUGGGCCAAGGAAAACAUCAGCACAGGACAGGAACCAGGACUUUGGAGGCCUGUGACCGAGUGGAGGAAUAGUGGUGUCACACAGAAUGACAACACAUUGAUUUACCUGAGCUAGACAGUCAGGAAGACACAGAGAGGAAUUAAGUGAUUGUGCUGAAAAAGUGGCUAAUUUUGGAACAGAGUGGUGAACUGAAGAGGAAGGUCGUGCAGCAGCCUGCUCUGGUUCCUUUGCUCAUAUAAAUC
rnacentral:lncRNA from 13 species